rnacentral:rRNA from 1 species
UACGUAGGGUGCGAGCGUUAAUCGGAAUUACUGGGCGUAAAGCGUGCGCAGGCGGUUUUGCAAGCCGGAUGUGAAAUCCCCGGGCUCAACCUGGGAAUGGCAUUCGGGACUGCAAGGCUGGAGUACGGCAGAGGAGACUGGAAUUCCUGGUGUAGCAGUGAAAUGCGUAGAUAUCAGGAGGAAUACCGAUGGCGAAGGCAGGUCUCUGGGCUGACACUGACGCUCAUGCACGAAAGCGUGGGGAGCAAACAGG